rnacentral:rRNA from 1 species
UACGUAGGUCCCGAGCGUUGUCCGGAGUUAUUGGGCGUAAAGCGAGCGCAGGUGGUUUAUUAAGUCUGGUGUAAAAGGCAGUGGCUCAACCAUUGUAUGCAUUGGAAACUGGUAGACUUGAGUGCAGGAGAGGAGAGUGGAAUUCCAUGUGUAGCGGUGAAAUGCGUAGAUAUAUGGAGGAACACCGGUGGCGAAAGCGGCUCUCUGGCCUGUAACUGACACUGAGGCUCGAAAGCGUGGGGAGCAAACAGG